GAGUCAUAUGGAAGUAGAUAGAAUGUGUAGUGUAGCGGUGAAAUGCAUAGAUAUUACACAGAAUACCGAUUGCGAAGGCAGUCUACUACGUAUGUACUGACGCUCAUGGACGAAAGCGUGGGGAGCGAACAGGAUUAGAUACCCUGGUAGUCCACGCCGUAAACGAUGGACACUAGUUGUUGGGCAUUAGCUCAGUGACUAAGCGAAAGUGAUAAGUGUCCCACCUGGGGAGUACGAUCGCAAGAUUGAAACUCAAAGGAAUUGACGGGGGCCCGCACAAGCGGUGGAGCAUGUGGUUUAAUUCGAUGAUACGCGAGGAACCUUACCAGGGCUUAAAUGUAGUAUGACAGGUUUAGAGAUAGACUUUUCUUCGGACAUAUUACAAGGUGCUGCAUGGUUGUCGUCAGCUCGUGCCGUGAGGUGUCAGGUUAAGUCCUAUAACGAGCGCAACCCUUGUCGUUAGUUGCCAGCAUGUAAAGAUGGGGACUCUAACGAGACUGCCGGUGCAAACCGAGAGGAAGGUGGGGGAUGACGUCAAAUCAUCACGGCCCUUACGUCCUGGGCCACACACGUGCUACAAUGGUAUGGACAAUGAGCAGCCAUCUGGCAACAGAGAGCAAAUCUAUAAACCAUAUCACAGUUCGGAUCGGAGUCUGCAACUCGACUCCGUGAAGCUGGAAAUCGCUAGUAAUCGGAUAUUCAGCCAUGAUCCGGUUGAAUACGUUCCCGG
rnacentral:rRNA from 1 species